GAUCCAGCUGCAUUACCGUUUGCACACUACCUUUUCCAAAUGUCUGCUCCCCUAUUAGCACCGCUCUUUUAUGAUCUUGCAACGCCCCUGCGACAAUCUCACUUGCACUUGCACUUCCGCCAUUUAUCAGCACAACCACAGGCACAUCUCCAUACGAUGCACCUUUUGCCUUAUAUUCAAUAUUUUCUUGCUUUGUGCGUCCUUUUUGUGAGGCAAUCACACCACUUUUAAUAAACAAUCGGCUUAAAUCCACCGCUUGAUCAAGCACACCACCGGGAUUAUUACGCA
rnacentral:ncRNA from 1 species